CUCAAUAUAACGAAGCCUUCAAAUGGUUAGCGCGUUCGGCUAUUAACCGAAAGGUUGGUGGUUCGAGCCCACCUGGGGAGC